rnacentral:pre_miRNA from 1 species
UGUCGAUGUUUUCAUCGGUAGUUAACUGCAGCCGGUUUUAUUUUUCCUCGACAGUUAACUGCAAAGGGGUAU